GUGUUCGCUUUCAGAACACAGACAUCAUUGAUAAGAUAUUAUGAACACCCGCAAUACAUCCAGCACAGAUCUGUAUUUCCCUUUAAAACCUGUUCUGUGUGCUGUGUUCUUCAUGCAAACAGAUGGGUUUUAGAUACAAUAUAUCAUGUUACAUUUUAUUAAUGUAUAUGAAGAGAGGUAUGAAUAAGGUGCAGCCUAGAGGUGAUGAGUAAGGUGCUGCCUAGAGGUGGCCAGGGGAUGAUUAAGGUGCAGCCUAGAGGAGAUGAGUAAGGUGCAGCCUAGAGGAGAUGAGUAAGGUGCAGCCUAGAGUAUAGGAUUUAUUUGUUCCACAACAGAAAGUACAGAGAGUGCAGAAGGAUCCAUUUACAAUAAGGCCUGAGGUAAAGUGAAACAGGGCUUGUAUAGGGAGUGGAAAAUGGAGUCUAAAAUAUAUGCUAUAUAAAAACGUGUUCUUAUUAAUGUUUUGACAUUAUUAUGUUAUUAAUGAGACGGAUGGUAAAACAUAUGUGCUUUACAUAUGUGAGGACAGUAGUUCAAAACACACACACACACACACACACACACACACACACACACACACACACACACACACACACACACACACACACACACACACACACACACACACACACACAGAGAGCACACAGAGCGCACACAGAGCACACAGAGGCCAAUCUGGUCACACACGGUCACCGAGCGCUUGUCUAUGACUGUGUGGAACUUCUCCCUGGGCGCUGACAGCUGUGCUCUGG